CUUAGAAAUAAUUUUUGAAAUUCAAGGUUCUAAUGCCCUUUAAUCCACACUUUCACUCUUUCACACAAUUCCACUACUAUCAGGUAGUAGACAGCUAUUAUUGCAUUUGCAGAUGAUGACUAUUACAAAAUGGAAAGAUAUGCAAGAUGUUCUGAUGGUAGUAGCAGUGGAUUUAGUUGCAUCAACAAACUAUCAAGCGUUUAAGGAUACACUAAGGCCAUUAUUCGCAACAUUUAUUAAUAGUAUCAACAGACAAUUUAGUGUCAUGUUUAUCUGAACCCCAUUUAUUACAACAGUUCAUCCAAAAUGAAACACCUUCAAUCUAGCACAUCUAAAUAUAAUAUAGGAUUUUUUUUCUAUAUAUCAAAGGCCAAUUUAUAAUUAUGGAUUUAAUAUACCCUUUCAUGUAAAAAAUUCUGUUUCUUCACACUUAUGAUAGAACAUUAUGUGGCCAACCUCAUUCACCAUGAGAUUGUUAAAAAAUCAAUGCCCUUUCUUCAUUUACUGUCUAUUUGCUGCAUGGGUACUAGAGUAAUUCAUAAAAACUAGAGGCGCAAUACGUGUUUCAAUAUUUAAUUGAAAAUUUUAAUAAAAAGAAAGAAGAAACUAUAGCCCUUAUAUAAGGCUUCAUUGAGUUGAGUUUUCAGUACAACUUUAAUUAACAAAUAAAGAGGAUA
rnacentral:misc_RNA from 1 species